GUUCUGUGCACACCUGUAGCCCUCGUGGGCUGCCUGGAGUGUAAUGACACAACAGUGAGGGGCCACCAGACUUCCACAUACGGAGAAGGGAGCGACAGAAAGGGUCAAGGAGACCCCAUCGUGCCUGCACAAAGGACAGAUCUUCCCUUUAUAUGUAGCAGCUUACGUCGGAUAUUCGCAUUCUAUUUGAUCCCAGAAAAGCCCUUAAAGAAAACCUCUGUUGUGAUAGAAAUCAGCACCACAAAAUUCAGCAGAAGCGAUGCAUCUGUUUCCGUGCACUGCCUCUGACAGCGCAGGGUGCUGUGAACAGGAGAGGCUCCUUUAAGAGAACAAUCUGCAGCAAGAUUACCGCUAAGCCUUUUUCAGAAACACAGACAUUUCCUAGGGCAAAAGAGGUUCCUGGUACAAAAGGUGGAGGGAACCUUUUGUCAUGAUAAUCUCAGUCAUUUCUGCAACACACCAGAUUCCCCGGCAUCGCGUGGGGAGUACAAGCACAUGAGACUCGACCCCUGCUGGAGUUGAAGCAAUGGGGAGAGAAAAGCUUAACACUCGUGGCACUGUUCCCCGUAUUCAAAGGCUCUCAGAGGAAACUGCCAGGAAAGCAAAUAUGGUUUUAAGCGGGGAUGUCUCCAGAGACAUAGGAAUCUUUUUACUGGAUGUUCUGAAUACAGUUGUGAGUCUCAGAAAUCCUGAUAAGAAAGUUCCUGCUGAGAUGUUCUGUUGAAGUUAAAAUGUCUGUACGGAGCCACGGGAAAUCAGCAAAUAAAAUGUGCAUUAGAGACUCACCAUGCACAUUUUCAACUCUUUGGAGAAUUAAAUUACGUGCAGAAGGGGAAGAAGAAUAUAUGGAGAUUUACAGAACUGAGAUGGGACAACAGAAGACUGCUGCAGUCCCUGAGAAGGCUGGCUUUCCCUCUGAGGCACAGGGAGUUCAUGUAAACAGGAAACAAUGAGCAGCUUGGUCAUCACAAAGGGGAUUUCCUAAAAUGGAAACAUUAUCUUAUUAAUUCUUCAGCCACAACAAUCCUGGAGAAGAUUUUUGGCUUAUUAAAAAUAAUGUGUUGUGUCAGACAGUGCCUAGCUAACAUCAAAUAAACUCUAUUUAAAAAACUAAGUUGAUAAAAAA
rnacentral:lncRNA from 1 species